rnacentral:rRNA from 1 species
GACGAACGCUGGCGGCGUGCUUAACACAUGCAAGUCGAACGGAAAGGCCCUGCUUUUGUGGGGUGCUCGAGUGGCGAACGGGUGAGUAACACGUGAGUAACCUGCCCUUGACUUUGGGAUAACUUCAGGAAACUGGGGAUAAUACCGGAUAGGAGCUCCUGCUGCAUGGCGGGGGUUGGAAAGUUUCGGCGGUUGGGGAUUGACUCGCGGCUUAUCAGCUUGUUGGUGGGGUAGUGGCUUACCAAGGCUUUGACGGGAAGCCGGCCUGAGAGGGUGACCGGCCACCGUGGGACUGAGAUACGGCCCAGACUCCUACGGGAGGCAGCAGUGGGGAAUAUUGCACAAUGGGCGGAAGCCUGAUGCAGCAACGCCGCGUGCGGGAUGACGGCCUUCGGGUUGUAAACCGCUUUCGCCUGUGACGAAGCGUGAGUGACGGUAAUGGGUAAAGAAGCACCGGCUAACUACGUG